ensembl:snoRNA
GCACUGCCUUGGAACCUCUGCAGUGCCUGGCCUGUGGCCUCAGGGGUCUGGUGGCAAUGCCAGAGCCAGCUUAACUUGUUUGGAUCCGGGGCUGCUUAAAUGCCACCUAAGUAAUUCCUUUGGCAGCAAGUGACAUUU